AGAACGAACGCUGGCGGCAGGCUUAACACAUGCAAGUCGAACGCCCCGCAAGGGGAGUGGCAGACGGGUGAGUAACGCGUGGGAAUCUACCUGGUUCUACGGAAUAACUGAGGGAAACUUCAGCUAAUACCGUAUACGCCCUAAGGGGGAAGAUUUAUCGGUGCCAGAUGAGCCCGCGUUGGAUUAGCUAGUUGGUGGGGUAAUGGCCUACCAAGGCGACGAUCCAUAGCUGGUCUGAGAGGAUGAUCAGCCACACUGGGACUGAGACACGGCCCAGACUCCUACGGGAGGCAGCAGUGGGGAAUAUUGGACAAUGGGCGAAAGCCUGAUCCAGCCAUGCCGCGUGAGUGAUGAAGGCCUUAGGGUUGUAAAGCUCUUUACCCGGGAGAUAAUGACUGUACCGGGAGAAUAAGCCCCGGCUAACUCCGUGCCAGCAGCCGC
rnacentral:rRNA from 1 species